GUCUGUGGACAGACCACUCUGAAUGCACCUGAUCUAAAAAGCUAAGGUUAAGCAGGGUCAGGCCAAGUUAGUCUUUGGAUGGGAUUCUACCUGGGAAUGCUGGGUGCUAUAGGGC
rnacentral:rRNA from 1 species